UUUAACUGAGCGUUCAGUUACUUGACGUAGACCCGAAACCGGGCGACCUACCCAUGAGCAGGAUGAAGCGAAAGUAAAAUUUCGUGGAGGUCCGAACCCACGAGCGUUGAAAAGCUCGGGGAUGACUUGUGGGUAGCGGUGAAAUUCCAAUCGAGCCCGGAGAUAGCUGGUUCUCCCCGAAAUAGCUUUAGGGCUAGCCUCAAGGUGAGAGAUACGGAGGUAGAGCACUGAAUGUCCUAGGGGGUAUUGCACCUACCGAAGACUAUCAAACUCCGAAUGCCGUCAUCUUAUACUUGGGAGUCAGACUGUGGGUGAUAAGAUUCAUAGUCGAAAGGGCAACAGCCCAGAUCGUCAGCUAAGGUCCCUAAAUGUAAGUUAAGUGGUAAAGGAUGUGGGAUUGCACAGACAACCAGGAUGUUGGCUUAGAAGCAGCCACUCAUUCAAAGAGUGCGUAAUAGCUCACUGGUCGAGUGAUCCUGCGCCGAAGAUUUCCGGGGCUAAAACUUACUACCGAAGCUACGGCAUCAGUAAUGAUGGGUAGGGGAGCUUCCCAUACGGGUUGAAGCAUGACCGUAAGGACAUGUGGACAGUAUGGGAGUGAGAAUGUUGGCAUGAGUAGCGAGAUGUGGGUGAGAAUCCCACAGGCCGUAAACCCAAGGUUUCCAGGGGAAGGUUCGUCCGCCCUGGGUUAGUCGGGACCUAAGCUGAGGCCGAAAGGCGUAGGUGAUGGACAACAGGUUGAUAUUCCUGUACUACCGAUAACCGUUUGAGAGAAGGGAUGACACAGUAGGAUAAGCUAAGCACACUGUUGGUUAUGUGUGCCCAAGCAUUGAGGC
rnacentral:rRNA from 1 species